UUCAAACUGACGUUGCUCACAUAGUAUAUGAAUGUGUGCGUAUGAGAGAGUAUGUGUAUGAGUGCGUUUGAGUGAGAGUGUGAAAGUGUGCAUGUCUGUGAGAGAGAGAGACACACACACACAUUCUCAUUGACACUUACACAUACUUUCACGUGUGCACUCACUCAGUCACUUCUGCAGUGCACCUUGUAGACCACACUUGAGAAGCCGAACACCAUUCAGGGACAACACAGCCCCUGCUUAAUUGACACCACAUCCAUUCUCUCUACCACCUGUGCUCAGUAGUAGCUACGAGAUGCCCUUCAGAAAUUCACCAAAGAUCCUCAGGCAGCACCUUCCAAACCCACAAAGACGUCCAUCGAGAAGGACAUGCACAGCAGGGGAGACAAUGGGAAAUCGAGCUGAGGGCACGAGUGAGGACACACCUGCAAGAAAUUUCGAACAUGCAGAGAUCGAGUCAAGUUGAUUGAACGGUCACUCUCAUGGUGCAGCAGGAAGGAAACACGCAAGUUAUUUUGCAGUGAAAAAGAGGGCAGUUAAUUUUUAAUCAGCAAAGUUAUGUUUUUAGCAGGCCGUUAAUGUUGACCAAGCGGAACAGCAACCACCCUGCAUCACAUACGCCACCCUGAGGCACACAGAUACAGGAGGGGAUGAGGAACCAGGUCAAGACUAAGAGGGAAACGUUUAUGUUAGCCUUCCAUAGACAUUGUGAGACAGUGCAGAAGAAAGCCUGUGAACCUUCACAAAUCGAUCAACAGCAAAUCUAUCUUCCAGCAAAUAAGGAGGACAAGGAAGAGAAGGCGUCGCACUGUCACGUUUCUGCGACUUGGCUAAGUUUUGUCUCAAUUCACUCAACAAGAUAUCAGUUCGAAAGAUGGAUUUGUUUUGAGAAAUCAUCUGAAAUAUGGUCUCUCCCAGAACUCUCGCAUCCAGCGGCUGAGUGAGAGGGAGUGUGCUCUUGUGCUGCCACUUUGUUUCUCCGUUCAUGUCUCCUGUGGUGAAUGGGAAACAGCCGAAGUUCUUUAAUUGUUAGUGCCUGUAGGAAUUACGUGCAAGUGAAAUGUAACACUUUCUGUGCUGUUCUUAAGAGUCAAGGUAGGAAACACAAUGGACCUUUUGUAUCUUGUAUAGUGCGGAAUCUAAUACACAGUAUUGAUAUAAAAUGUUGGUCUCCAGAAAGCCACCAGUUUUUGUUUCAGUGCAUAGUGAUGUUCUUUUAUGAAUACUGGUGAACUAAAAAUCAGUGUAAACUGAAUCCAUUUGCAACUAAGUGACAAACAAUUCAACUGCAUUGGAGCUGACUGACCUUGUACGGAAAAGACAAUUGGCUAAUUUACUUCUAUUUUCUGAUGUAGACAGAACAUUACCCUGCUCUGUAGUGUGAUGAUGCACCAUUAGCAGUAGUCAUAUGUUGCUCGAUAGUAAGGAGGAGGAAAGGAAAAGGACUUUUUUUUUGUCAUGCAGUGCAGAAUAUGUAAACUGUCAAAUUCAAUUCAUGGAAUAAUCAACACUGUUUAACUCUGCUUGAAAAUAAAAUGCACAAUUCUACAAGCCUAACAAAUUUG